CCUUGAAAUACCACCCUUUAAUGUUUGAUGUUCUAACGUGGACCCGUAAUCCGGGUUGCGGACAGUGUCUGGUGGGUAGUUUGACUGGGGCGGUCUCCUCCUAAAGAGUAACGGAGGAGCACGAAGGUUGGCUAAUCCUGGUCGGACAUCAGGAGGUUAGUGCAAUGGCAUAAGCCAGCUUGACUGCGAGCGUGACGGCGCGAGCAGGUGCGAAAGCAGGUCAUAGUGAUCCGGUGGUUCUGAAUGGAAGGGCCAUCGCUCAACGGAUAAAAGGUACUCCGGGGAUAACAGGCUGAUACCGCCCAAGAGUUCAUAUCGACGGCGGUGUUUGGCACCUCGAUGUCGGCUCAUCACAUCCUGGGGCUGAAGUAGGUCCCAAGGGUAUGGCUGUUCGCCAUUUAAAGUGGUACGCGAGCUGGGUUUAGAACGUCGUGAGACAGUUCGGUCCCUAUCUGCCGUGGGCGCUGGAGAACUGAGGGGGGCUGCUCCUAGUACGAGAGGACCGGAGUGGACGCAUCACUGGUGUUCGGGUUGUCAUGCCAAUGGCACUGCCCGGUAGCUAAAUGCGGAAGAGAUAAGUGCUGAAAGCAUCUAAGCACGAAACUUGCCCCGAGAUGAGUUCUCCCUGAGACUUAGAGUCUCCUGAAGGAACGUUGAAGACGACGACGUUGAUAGGCCGGGUGUGUAAGCGCAGCGAUGCGUUGAGCUAACCGGUACUAAUGAACCGUGAGGCUUAACCUUAC
rnacentral:rRNA from 2 species